rnacentral:pre_miRNA from 1 species
AAAGUACUCCCUCCGUCCCAAAAUUCUUGUCUUAGAUUUGUCUAGAUACGGAUGUAUCAAGUCACAUUUUAGUAUUAGAUACAUCCGUAUCUAGACAAAUCUAAGACAAGAAAUUUGGGACAGAGGGAGU